UUCAGAUGUCAAGAUUUAAUAUCAGUCAG
rnacentral:piRNA from 1 species